rnacentral:tRNA from 1 species
GGUAAGGUGGCCGAGUAGGUGGUGGAUUGUAGCUCCACGCACAGAGGUAUAGUCCUCUUCUUAUCA